rnacentral:rRNA from 1 species
UACGUAGGGUGCAAGCGUUGUCCGGAAUUAUUGGGCGUAAAGAGCUCGUAGGCGGUUUGUCGCGUCGAAUGUGAAAUCCCGGGGCUCAACCCCGGGCCUGCAUUCGAUACGGGCAGACUAGAGUUCGGUAGGGGAGUCUGGAAUUCCUGGUGUAGCGGUGAAAUGCGCAGAUAUCAGGAGGAACACCGAUGGCGAAGGCAGGUCUCUGGGCAUUAACUGACGCUGAGGAGCGAAAGCAUGGGGAGCGAACGGG